UUUGUAACUUACUUUGAGCUGGAGAUGUUUCUCAUGGUUCGUUUUUACAAUCAUGACAAUGGUAAACUUAAUUUCUUUCUUCUUAAAAGAUGUAAUUUCUGAUUGUCUCUCCAAGUUCAAACAUGUGCCUUUCUUAACCAUCAUACGGCACAUAGAGGAACUUGGAAAAAAGCACAGAUUAAUGACAAUUCAUUCUUUCCCAAACAUUGCAGACC
rnacentral:lncRNA from 1 species